AGGUUAAAAAACAUUGACAGGAGCAGCGCUCAGCACCUAGAGGUCACGGUUGGAGACCUGACUGUCAUCAUCACAGACUUUAAGGAGAAAACCAAACCUCCCCCCUCCUCCACCACCACCACCACCACACCCCCCACCUCUACCACCCCCUCCAGCACUGUGUCUGUGUCUGCAGAACACCACAGUGGCUCCAGCUCAGACAACAACACUGAGAGAGGGGUCUCACGGUCAUCUUCACCCCGAGGAGAGGGCUUCUUAGUCGGGACAGAGUCCCACUAGACCACCACAAUUGGAACCCAAGACCCCCCCCCCCAAGUUGGAGGCCCUGGAUCACCAAACUCCUAGCCCAACAGACCCUCAGACCUCCAACCCCUAGACCUUGGCCUGGACAUCCAACCCCUAGACCUUGCCCUGGAUCCCCAACCCCUAGACCUUGGCCUGGAUCCCCAACCCCUAGACCUUGGCCUGGAUCCCCGACCCCUAGACUUUUGCCUGGACACCUGACCCCUAGACCUUGGCUUGGAUCCCCAACCCCUAGACCUUGGCCUGGACCCCCGACCCCUAGACCUUGGCCUGGACCCCCGACCCCUAGACCUUGGCCUGGACCCCCGACCCCUAGACAUUGGCCUGGACCCCCGACCCCUAGACCUUGGCCUGGUACCCCGACCCCUAGACCUUGGCCUGGUACCCCGACCCCUAGACCUUGGCCUGGACCCCGACCCCUAGACCUUGGCCUGGAUCACUGACCCCUAGACCUUGGCCUGGAUCCUCGACCCCUAGACCUUGGCCUGGAUCCCGAACCCCUAGACCUUGGCCUGGAUCCCCAACCCCUAGACCUUGGCCUGGACCCCCAACCCCUAGACCUUGCCCUGGAUCCCCAACCCCUAGACCUUGGCCUGGACCCCCGACCCCUAGACCUUGGGUAUGACUACUCAUGGCUUAACAUAGGCCACUCUAACCUCACUCCUCUGUCCUCAACUCUGAUAUGUAAUGUUAUCUCUGGACUUGCACAUUUACUGUAGUACUAGCUACAGGUUACAGCUAGAUCAACACAUUUAGCAGCUACAGGUUAUAGCUAGAUCAACACAUUUAGCAGCUACAGUUUACAGCUAGAUCAACACAUUUAGCAGCUACAGGUUAUAGCUAGCACUACUACUAGCAACCUUGAGUUGUGGUUUGCUUUUGGACAAAAAAAACACCACAAUCUGAAGUCUUGUUUUAAUGAAAUUUCUCUGAUUAACUUUAGGUCAAUUUAACUGACUUUUAAAAACUAUUUUUUGAAACCUGUGUUCUAAACAUGAAGUAAUGUCAUUACAUUUAGCUGAUCUUAGCCUAUUGUACAGCUCUGUUUUUUAAUGUGUUAUAACAUCACGUCAGUGUUAGUAUCCAUGUCAACAUCGGAACUUUCAACCUCCUGUCCAAUGAGAACUGUCGUGACAUGAUGAUUAUGGUUCAGAGUUCUUCAGUUUGUGUUGCAUUAUGGGAGAAAACAUGAGGUACAUGUGGAGAGGAUGGAAAACCUAUAGGCUCUCUUUUGGUACUUGUCUCUCAGUUGUAAAGUGUCAUUUAUUGAUUGAAUGUGUUGGAGACUGAAUUGUAUUGUCAUUGACUCACAUCAGCCGGGACCUGGUGUGGUUUUAUCAUUCAUGAGAAAAUAUUCUUCAAAACAACGUCUGUUUUUGAAUUGUGUCCUUUUUAACACCACCUCAAAUGAUUGAUCAUACUGUAUCACAACAUUCACUGUUACAUUUUCUAUCAUUUGUUUUGUUUCUACCAAGCAUUUCUGUUUAGAAAUGUAUGGACAACUUGGUUGGUUACAUGGUUCAAUGUCUAUAAAGAAAGAUAUAAAUAAUGGCA